GACGAACGCUGGCGGCGUGCUUAACACAUGCAAGUCGAACGGACUGCUUGGGGGCUUGCUCCUGGGUGGUGAGUGGCGAACGGGUGAGUAACACGUGAGUAACCUGCCCUCUUCUUUGGGAUAACGGCCGGAAACGGCUGCUAAUACCGGGUAUUCACUGGUCUCCGCAUGGGGGUUGGUGGAAAGGGGCCCUUUUUGGGUUUCUGGUGGGGGAUGGGCUCGCGGCUUAUCAGCUUGUUGGUGGGGUGAUGGCUCACCAAGGCUUUGACGGGUAGCCGGCCUGAGAGGGUGACCGGUCACAUUGGGACUGAGAUACGGCCCAGACUCCUACGGGAGGCAGCAGUGGGGAAUUUUGCACAAUGGGCGCAAGCCUGAUGCAGCGACGCCGCGUGAGGGAUGGAGGCCUC
rnacentral:rRNA from 1 species